rnacentral:misc_RNA from 1 species
GAUGAAGAACGUAGCGAAAUGCGAUACGUAAUGUGAAUUGCAGAUUUCAGUGAAUCAUCGAAUCUUUGAACGCACAUUGCGCCCGCUAGUAUUCUGGCGGGCAUGCCUGUUCGAGCGUCAUUUCAACCAUCAAGCCCUAGGCUUGUGUUGGAGCCCUGCGGCUGCCGCAGGCUCCCAAAUCCAGUGGCGGGCUCGUCGUCGUACCGAGUGCAGUAAACAUCCUCGCUCAGGGAACGUGACGGGUUCUUGCCGUGAAACCCCCCACAUAUCAAGGUUGACCUCGGAUCAGGUAGGAAUACCCGCUGAACUUAAGCAUAUCAAUAAGCGGAGGA